GGGGAUGUAGCUCAGUGAUAGAGCACUUGCCUAGCAUGUACAAGGCCCUGAGUUCAAUCCUCAGUAUCAUUU
rnacentral:tRNA from 1 species